GGAAUAUUGCACAAUGGGGGAAACCCUGAUGCAGCGACGCCGCGUGAGCGAAGAAGUAUUUCGGUAUGUAAAGCUCUAUCAGCAGGGAAGAAAAUGACGGUACCUGACUAAGAAGCCCCGGCUAACUACGUGCCAGCAGCCGCGGUAAUACGUAGGGGGCAAGCGUUAUCCGGAUUUACUGGGUGUAAAGGGAGCGUAGACGGCGUAUCAAGUCUGAUGUGAAAGGCAGGGGCUCAACCCCUGGACUGCAUUGGAAACUGGUAUGCUUGAGUGCCGGAGGGGUAAGCGGAAUUCCUAGUGUAGCGGUGAAAUGCGUAGAUAUUAGGAGGAACACCAGUGGCGAAGGCGGCUUACUGGACGGUAACUGACGUUGAGGCUCGAAAGCGUGGGGAGCAAACAGGA
rnacentral:misc_RNA from 1 species